GGGGAUUUAGCUUAGCAGCAUUAGCACCUGUCUUGCAAGCAGGCAGUCAUGGGUUCAAUCUCCG
rfam:Cavia porcellus supercont2_350 genomic scaffold, whole genome shotgun sequence.